CAGAUCAGAAAGUGGUCCUGUUUUUAUGUGUUUUAGAUUCACUUCUUCGAUUAAGAUGAUAAGAGCAACCAUACUGGAUUACUGAAGAGCAGCAGAAGAACAGCUAGCAUAGCCAGAAUAAUAUUCCAGCUCCUAAAAAUGGAUUCCCUGAACUAGAGGAUCGCCAUAUAGACAAACCCCAACUAGGACUGUUGGCCUGAAAAGCCUGAGAUCCUGCUUCUCUCAAGAGCCCUAUCGCUGUCUGCUAGAUAUGGUAACUAUGGUAAUACUUAAUCACGACAUAUUAGGACAGUAUUAUGGGUCUCUCUGAGUCAGGUCAGAGUUCCUGACUCCGACCUCAUAGCCAGUUAGGGGUAUCUUCCUGUGAAAUGAGACAAUACUAAGUAGAGUAAGAGUUAAGAGCACAGACUCAAUACUACAUAGACUGGAAAACAUUCCUGUUCGAUCAGAUAUGAAAGCAGAGCCUGACAGCCUGUGUGAGUACAUGAUCACUCGCUAUCCAGCGCCAAGAGACCUGGUGGCCAGGGUUCAAAGCUGACCUCAGUGUGGCGGUGCCAACAGAGACCAUCUGAAACCCAGGGGUGGGCUCCCAAAGUCAAAACUGAGGCACAGUCAUAGACAGCUGGAAACAGCAUGUUCUUCUGUUGCUGAAGCACCACCUGCAUUGAAGCGAAGAAACUUCACACUAGCAUACUUCAACAAAAGAAAAGAAAACAAAACACUUGCCAUGAACUGUUUUCGCUUGGGCUGGAAGCCCCAGACCACAACCAACCAGAGAUCUUUGGUUACAAAUCUGUUUUGCAUGUUGUGGCACAGAGCCUGCAGCUGUUAUUUAUUCUUAAAUAAAGGGGUGAUUCCAAUGAAUACACAUUUGUGCCCAUCAACAAGAGUGCUACCUGGUUGUAUAAAGUUAUCAUUUACAAGAGAACAUAGAAACAAAGAACCCUCUUACAGCUACACAUAUUUUCCAUGGCCAGUAGCCAGAAAAGGUUCUUUUUGCUCAUAUCCUGGAGACACUGGAGUCCCUUCUAUUAUCACACUUUUUUAAUGAUCUACAACCAUGACCAGAAAAGUGAAUUCAGGGAGGAGACAACCAAUCAACACCACACAGGUGACAAACGUGGACAGAAAUGCUACUGACUUAAACUAAAGGUCUUUUUUGAGUAGUUCAGGUAUGAAUUUAAUCUUCCUGACUUCAGGGAGAUCAACAUCUGUAAGCGUGCAGCUUAAGCUCAUCAUCACUUCUAGGCUGUUCCAAGAAUUUUAUGGCUUUAGGGCUUUGCCAGAUAGCCAAGAAUACAGGAGUAGCUCAGAUCUGGUUAAACUAUUGUUGGGUACUGCAAGACAGAACGCCCUACAAUAUUGUAUUUGUGGCACAAAUACAGACAAGGUUUCCAAACAAGUCAGCAUGGCCUUGGAUAUUUCCCAAAGCAGAUAAUUAUUUUACUCUCUUGAAAGAAAGUUGGAUAUGCAUAUUCCCUGAGGCUUACUAGCAACAAAAGGCAUUGUUUGAUUUUUAAAGACCCUCUCAAAUUCUAAUUUCCUCAUGCUUUGUCUGUAAGACAUACAGAAAUUGUAUGUCCAGGUUGAUUUCCCUGUUGAGGGAGAGUCAGAAGAAACAGAGGGGAGAGGUGGAAGGUACAGAUCAGUGAGCAAGUCUUGGCUCUUAAAAAACAACUAUGGCUAUUGUUUGCUAUGCAAACACAUUGGCACUGCAUGUUUACUUUUGUCCUAUAAACAGCAAGUGAUUUCAGUGUAUACUAAAAGUUGCAUUUAAAAAGCAGGAUUACCUUUUGAAAGCUUUAUACUCACAGAAGAUGGAUGAGGUAUUUCCAUUAGAGUAUCCACAUUUAUGGAAGUAAAUGCAUGUAAAUCUUUUGAUGUCUUGAAGGUCAAUGAAAGCUGACUGGGUAUGGGACGUGCUGGGGGCUCCCAGAAGCCAGGGGUCUCCCCGUGCUGGCAGGGCAGGGCUGGUUCCAGUGCCCUUGCAAGGCAACAGGACAGCACAAGCACCAGGCAUUGCCAGGGGGCCAGGCCUGGGCUGGAGCAGGUCUAUGGGCAGGGGUGGGGAGCUCAGGUGAGGCUGAUGGGGGCCGUUAAGACCCGUUAGUGCCCUCGGGGCCCUGAUAAAUACAAACAAUUUAGAAAGCUCCAAGUCACUUCCGGUCAAAUGAAUCAAGUUUGAUUUUGCCUCUUUCUUCACCUAAUUAGACAACAGAGAGAUUUAUGAUGUAACUGAGCCAACUAAAUGUUUCUGUAAUUUAACAUCUAAUUUAUCAAUGUCCAGUUCCUCUGCAGGUGCAAUCUAAAUAAUUCCUAACUGAUGGAAGCACAUUUCUAUUAAAAAAUAACCAGCUUUGUUAUAAAUAAAAAAAAUAACCAACUGAUGUUGACCAAAGUGGAUGUGUCCCAGAACAGGAACCAAUGCGGUCAUGUUAGCUGAAAAGCUCAAGCCCACACUGGUCAUCUUCCUUGCCUACGUUUUGGCUUGAACUAAACGACCCUGCCGGGAGGAAGGCUUAUGAGGAUGCGGUUCUUGCAGGGCAGCCUCUGCUCGAAGCAGCAUGGAUGCACGUUGCUCAGGCCAUAGCGGCUGGUCUAAGCUAGUAGGAGUGAGAGAAGCAGCAUUUCCCACCCAACCGCUACAAAACUGGCAUCUAAGCUUUAUUAGUGAGGUGGGAAGUUGUUUCCGUUUCUGUACCUGGAUACCAGAGAUACAAAUCCAGUUAUUGUAAUGAUCACACGAAGCUUUACAGGUAAGAUUGAAACAGACAAAGAUGCUAGUGAAAUUCUGCCCUGUUAGAGUUAACAAGCAUUUUGCAUUUGACUCAGUGGGGCCAAGGAUUUUACCCUAAGAGUAUUAGUCAUCAGUAUCAAGAUGAAUUAGAAGACUUGUCAACAAUAAGCAGGCAAGAUUAUUCCCAAGGGCUGCUGAACUCGGGAUCAGAAAAGCUGGAAAAUCCACGAGUGAAAAAUAAUGUCCUGCUUAUUCCAUUUAUACCCACAAUGCAUGUGAUGCGUGUGUAUAAUGUCUAAGCAUUUAUCGCCUGCUUUAUUCUGUUCCUGUCAAACAUGUUGUAGAACUCUUUGUUCGAGGAGGCAGGGGAGGAAUCUCAGGGUAAAAUUUCUUUGGAUAACUUCCCAGAGCUGGGCUCAGCUCUCAUAAACAAGCCCUGUGAAGGCAGUUUCUGUGUACAACCUAUGGUUCAUAUUUCUAGGAAAUACUGUCAAGCAGAGCUACUAAUGGCCCCAUGGCAGCUUUGUGUUAUUAAAGCAUACAACUUGGAUGGUGUUCAGCCCAACUAGCCCUGCUUGCAAGCUUUGAGCUUUGUCUGAAAGGCAGAAUUUUCAUUGGAAAUUGCUGCUCAGUUGGCUUUGAGAAUGUGACCUACUUCAAGCUUAAUCAACACUGCAAAAAUGCCACAAAUACUAAUUUGAAUUUUCAAGCACAGUCAGUUCAACAAUGGGGAAGAAACAACAUUUUAAUAAGACAGGGUUUUAAAAGAACAUUUGUGGAAGACCACUUGUUUGUCGUGUUUAUGAUUAUAAAAGUUAUAAUCAUCCAGUCAAGGGACAGAAAUAUCCCUGUCUGAGCAGUAAAAACUGACCAGCACAAUGUAGAUGUCAAAUAAUCAGAAGCAGCAGUUUACAACAACAACAAAAAAGACUUGGCAAGAAAGAACAGCAGAAUUUUUCAGUGAAUAAUAAACAUAUUUGAAACAAAGCAUUAUUUGCUCAUGAACGACAGAAAUACAGAGGAAGAGGUGGCAUUGGUUAGAGAAAUCAUUCGUUGCAUAUUAUUUGCCUGGCUAAAUGUAAUUGAUUUCCUUAUUUAUCUUACAAACCUUUUAUCGUGGAAUGACGCUGUUUUUCUUGUUCACCCUAACUGUUGUUACUGGUGGUGUUACUCUAUUUGGGGAAGCAGCAGUAACCUCGAGUACAAGCUGCCCUUGUUCCAGUCACUCUGUGCCCAGUUCUCCCUGACCAAGUUUAGAUGAAGCAGAGAGAAGACAGGAAGACCCAAACUGCUGCUGUCACUGUAGCUACAGUCAACGAAACCACGCAGGGUGCAAGUGGGAAAAUAUGAAGGCCAGAAAUCUAUAAUACCUACAGCCCUAGAAAUGAUCCUGAAAUGGUAACCUGGGUCCAUACACACCAGUGACCUCAGAACUGAAUGACAGGGCUUUCUUUGGAAAUAUCCUUUUUUAUCACUACCUACUGACUGGUCCCAAUAUUUUUGCUGUGGUGGAUGAUGUAGCUGUCUCUUCCAUAGGCGGGCCAGGCAGCACUGCAUUGUACUCCGGAGACUCAACAAGCAUAGCUAGCAUUUACUUAUUCUCGAAAUCAGUGGAGAAAAUGAAAGGAGCUUCUUUCUGACAGUACGGAGCUACCAGCAAAAGGGCUGGGUCUGCUACGCCGUCUCGCCAUCCCACGUCUUUUCUCUGGCACCACGGCCCCUCGCUGGGCACCGAGCACUGCAGCGCGGCCAGCAAACCCGUGCCGACGACUCCUCACUCCUACCAGGGCAGGGCACAGGUAGCAGAAGUGAUAUCGUCAGUCACAGAAUCACAGAAUCACAGAGUGGUUGAGGUUGGAAGGGACCUCUGGAGAUCAUCUAGUCCAACCUCCCUGCUCAAGCAGGGUCACCUAGAGCAUAUUGCCCAAUAUCACAUACAGGCAGGAUGGCGAAGACGGGAGAGAUGCACGUGAAAAUAGUCACAGCUCCGUCUGUAUUAAAAAUGUGCUGACAAGGUGGCAGAUGAUCCAAUCUUUAUUGCUACACGUCUGGACCACCUGAUGAGCUGGUGCAAUAUAUAGAUGUGUGUUAUUUAUAUGAACAUAACACAUAAGUUACAGUAGACUCCUUCCCUGCUCUUUACAUGUUGUAUGACUUACUGGAGUGCAAGUUAUUUGGAUCGAAUGUGUUUCAUAUUCUGGGCUUGAGCAACCCUUACCAAGCCAUCCCUUAUCACUGAAAUAACAAUAAAAAAAAUA